UUGGAAAGCUUCGGCCGGAAGAUGCGUUAUCUAGUGGCGGACGGGUGAGUAACACGUGGGUAACCUGCCUUAUGGAGGGGGAUAACAGAGAGAAAUCACUGCUAAUACCGCAUAAGCACACAGUACCGCAUGGUACAGGGUGAAAAGAUUUAUCGCCAUAAGAUGGACCCGCGUCUGAUUAGCCAGUUGGCAGGGUAAAAGCCUACCAAAGCAACGAUCAGUAGCCGAUCUGAGAGGAUGACCGGCCACAUUGGGACUGAGACACGGCCCAAACUCCUACGGGAGGCAGCAGUGGGGAAUAUUGCACAAUGGGGGAAACCCUGAUGCAGCGACGCCGCGUGAGUGAAGAAGUAUUUCGGUAUGUAAAGCUCUAUCAGCAGGGAAGAUAAUGACAUACCUGACUAAGAGCCCCG
rnacentral:rRNA from 1 species